GGUGGUUCAGUGGUAGAAUUCUCGCC
rnacentral:piRNA from 8 species